UUUUUAUGAUGAUAAACUUUACUUUUCAGUUCUGCUUCUGAACCAAAAAUACCUGAAGAUAACCCUUACCAAAGCUCAAAUAUCUGACAU
rnacentral:snoRNA from 14 species